GACGAACGCUGGCGGCGUGCUUAACACAUGCAAGUCGAACGGAAAGGCCUCUUUCGGGGGGUCCUCGAGUUGCGAACGGGUGAGUAACACGUGAGUAACCUGCCCUUGACUUUGGGUUAACUUCAGGAAACUGGGGCCAUUACCGGAUAGGAGCUCCCGCUGCAUGGUGGGGGCUGGAAAGUUUCGGCGGUUGGGGGUGGACUCGCGGCUGAUCAGCUUGUUGGUGGGGUAGUGGCUUACCAAGGCUUUGGCGGGUAGCCGGACUGGGAGGGUGAGCGGCCACAGUGGGACUGAGAUACGGCCCAGACUCCUACGGGAGGGGGCAGCAGGGGAGGUUGCAAAAUGGGUAGGGGCCCGAUGCAGCACCGCCCAGGGCGGGUGAGCGGUCUAGGGGUUGGAAUCCGAAUGCGCUCAUGACGAAGCAUUGUGUGACGGUAGUGGGUAAAGAAGCCCCGGCUAACUACGUG
rnacentral:rRNA from 1 species